rnacentral:misc_RNA from 1 species
GAUGGAGAACGUAGCGAAACGCGAUAUUUCUUGUGAAUUGCAGAAGUGAAUCAUCAGUUUUUGAACGCACAUUGCACUUUGGGGUAUCCCCCAAAGUAUACUUGUUUGAGCGUUGUUUCUCUCUUGGAAUUGCUUUGCUCUUCUAAAAUUUCGAAUCAAAUUCGUUUGAAAAACAACACUAUUCAACCUCAGAUCAAGUAGGAUUACCCGCUGAACUUAAGCAUAUCAAUAAGCGGAGGA